UACAGAGGUCCCAAGCGUUGUUCGGAUUCACUGGGCGUAAAGGGUGCGUAGGUGGUGAGGUAAGUCUGAUGUGAAAUCUCCGAGCUCAACUCGGAAAUGGCAUCGGAAACUACCCCGCUAGAGGUUUGGAGGGGGGGACUGGAAUUCUCGGUGUAGCAGUGAAAUGCGUAGAUAUCGAGAGGAACACCAGUGGCGAAGGCGAGUCCCUGGACAACACCUGACACUGAGGCACGAAAGCUAGGGGGAGCAAAACAGG
rnacentral:rRNA from 1 species